ACACUAAACCUAAUUCAUAUCUCUCCCGCAGCCAACUCUGAACUCUCUCUUGUGCGACUCAAAGGCGAUUUCGUUUACCCGUGAGACCAACUCCGACUCACCGUCUUUUCUUCAUCGUUUCUUCUCGCCUUCUCUUAAUCUCUUCUUCUGUUACUCUUCUUCGUCGUCUAGCAUCGAAAUCAUGCUUGAGAAAUCCGGAAAACGAACGCUUUGGUGAAACCCUAAUUGCGAAAAUCCAAAAGUUUGCGGUAUUGUGCAAGGAUCUUACACGCAAGGAUCUUAAUCGCUUGUAGUUUGAGAAGAUCUGGUCGUUUUAGAUGUCUUUGCGAAUAACAAGUUUUGUCGCCAACCAUGACCGCCGACGUCGCCAACCAUGACCGCCGCCGUCGCCAUUAACAAUGUGUGGAAACCCUAAUUGUUAAUGGGCUGGACUGGGAUGGGCUUGUUAUUUUGUUAUUCUAAUUUGUUAUAUUUGGGUUUGUAAUUUAGUUUUCUUGGGUUUGUAUUUAAUUUAGUUUUAUUUCAGCCCAUUAUUUGUAUUCUGGCUUAAUUCGGUUUAAAUAAACCGAAUUAGAAAAAAAUUCGGUUAAUUUCGGAAUAGAAUUUAAAACAGAUACCCGAA